rnacentral:rRNA from 1 species
UGUGUAGGCGGAGAGACAAGUCAGGUGUGAAAAUCAUGGGCUCAACCCAUGACCUGCGCCUGAAACUGUAUCCCUUGAGAGUCGGAGGGGUAGAUAGAAUUCCAGGUGUAGCGGUGAAAUGCGUAGAGAUCUGGAGGAAUACCGAUUGCGUAGGCAGCCCCCUGGACAGUGACUGACGCUCAUAUGCGAAAGCGUGGGGAUCAAACAGGAUUAGAUACCCCUGUA